GUGUGAUCAGAUCUGAUCACCGUCCCCGCUGCGCGACGCCGGUUCCGCUCCGCUCCUGGCUCACUCGCGUCCCUCCCGUCGUCGGCGGUCGGCUAGAGAGUGUUUCAGCUUCAGUGAUUUAUACAUUAUAUAUGCUUGUAUAAGAAUAACAGGAUGAUGAAGCUAAGUUGGAAAGGAGCUUCGCGCCGAUACCUUUACGUGGGAUUUUUUCUUCUGUUUUGUAUCAUGGUCUCAAAUUUAGCAAUAUAUUACAGACCAUAUAUUCGGCCACAACUAACAAGGUUUUCGGAAACAGGCCGAUAUUCAGACGUGGCGAAUCCCAGACAUACAGAUUUCACCGUCGAGCACGCAAGCACAGAGGAGUCUAACGCAGGACAUACACGCUACGAAGAAACAGUGCAGAUCUACAGACAAGUGGAGAGUAACAUCUACUACAACAAGCAAUAUUCUCUGGCGCUCCUAAGACAAUUAAGCACUCAGACCUCGGGCAAAACUGAAAAGAAAAACCUCAAAGGGGCGAUAGAGGAUGUCAAGCACUAUUUCAGGGUACAGGUUAGAAGAACAGACAAGGUGAUAACAGAGACUUUAUUCGUAAAACUGGAAGAGUACAUGGAGGCCGUGGACGACUUUUACAAUGACCUGGAGCUUCGAGGGACGAAGGAUCUACCUGGUUACAGAAGACCCGCAGGUCAUCAAGGAAGCGAAAGAGAACGGGCAAGCGGCGCCCUCCCCCUUUCAGAUACCCUGCCUACGAGAUCGUGUUCAGCGAGGAGAGCGUCACCAGCGCCAACAUGAGCCGGACAUCAACAAAGGCUGUUGCUCGCCGACAUCGUCUCCCUCGCUCGCACAGACUUCCUCGUGUGUGCCAUGUCGUCCAAUAUAUGCCGACUGGCCUAUGAGCUCAUGCAGACCCUCCACCCGGACGCCUCCAGGAAGGUCUUCUCCGUCGAUGCGCCUUAUUGGUUCCACUUCCAGAGCAACCAUGAGGUGGAGGCGAGGUACCCCCACACGCCUCGCA
rnacentral:misc_RNA from 1 species